UCUCUCAUCCCCUUCUAUCUAAUGAUAUUUUAUGCAUUGUUCUUUGUUAAUUUUGGGAGACAAUUGCCUUUCAGUUAUUUUAGCCUCAUUCGCAUUCCAAGUGUCUGGUGAUUUAUUGCGCUGCAGAAUUAAUUCGUUUAAAUUGUUUUUUGAUAAUUUUGGCAGGUAUUUUUAAGAAUCCAGACGUGAAGCUGUGUGCAGUUGAAAGUGAAAAUUAAUAAUUCUUAUUAUUUGGCAGGAAGUGAUUUGCAAAUUUGCUGUGUUCCACCAAAUUUAUUUGUGCUAAAUUUUAACGCUUCUUUGAGAGAUUAUUAUCAUCGAGGAGGGAGGAAAAUUAUUGAUAAGUCUUGCAGGUGCUGGGAGGUUUCCGAAAUGCCUCGCCCAAGUCGAAAUCGCUCUCAAGUUAGCCUUUCCUCACAAGAUUUGUCGGCUUCUCAGUCCACAGUCUUAACCCUUCGAGAGAUUGAAGCCUUGAUUCCUGCAUUUGAACCGGGAAAUGAGAAGAGUCCUAUGGCUAGUGAAUGGCUUCAGAAAGUGGACAAUGUCGUGGCUUUGUACGACAUGAACCCUCAGCGUGCCAUGCUAACAGCUGUCAUCCGUCUCAAGGGUCCAGCACGUGAAUGGUUUGAG